rnacentral:rRNA from 1 species
UGAGUACGAGAUGCUACGGCAUCGAAGCAGUCUAUGUCAUACUUCCAAGAAAAGCUUGCAAUGUCAUAAACAAAUAAUGCCUGUACCAUAACCGACACAGGUGGGUAGGUAGAGUAUACUAAGGGGCGCGAGAUAACUCUCUCUAAGGAACUCGGCAAAAUGACUCCGUAACUUCGGGAGAAGGAGUGCCUUAUUUUUAUAAGGUUGCAAUAACAAGAUCCAAGCAACUGUUUACCAAAAACACAGGUCUCCGCUAAGUCGUAAGACGAUGUAUGGGGGCUGACGCCUGCCCAGUGCCAGAAGGUUAAAGAAGUUGGUUAGCAUUAGCGAAGCUGAUAACUGAAGCCCUGGUGAACGGCGGCCGUAACUAUAACGGUCCUAAGGUAGCGAAAUUCCUCGUCGGGUAAGUUCCGACCCGCACGAAAGGCGUAAUGAUUUGGAUACUGUCUCGGAGAGGGGCUCGGUGAGAUAGACUUGUCUGUGAAGAUGCGGACUACCUGCACCUGGACAGAAAGACCCUAUGAAGCUUUACUGUAACUUGAGAUUGAAAUUGGACUUUAUCUGCGCAGUAUAGGUGGGAGACGUUGAAAAUAUUCUUGCGGGAAUAUUGGAGUCAUCAGUGAGAUACCACUCUUAUAAUGUUAGAUUUCUAACUUUGUAUCAUUAUCUGGUCAAAGAACAGUUUCAGGCGGGCAGUUUGACUGGGGCGGUCGCCUCCCAAACGGUAACGGAGGCGCACAAAGGUUUCCUCUGAACGUGUAGAAAUCGUAUCUAGAGUGUAAAGGCAUAAGGAAGCUUGACUGUGAGACCUACAAGUCGAGCAGGGACGAAAGUCGGUCUUAGUGAUCUGACGGUGCUGAGUGGAAAGGCCGUCACUCAACGGAUAAAAGUUACUCUAGGAUAACAGGCUGAUCUCCCCCAAGAGUUCACAUCGACGGGGAGGUUUGGCACCUCGAUGUCGGCUCAUCGCAUCCUGGGGCGGUAGUACGUCCCAAGGGUUGGGCUGUUCGCCCAUGAAAGCGGUACGCGAGCUGGGUUCAGAACGUCGUGAGACAGUUCGGUCCAUAUCCGGUGUAGGCGUUAGAAUAUUGAGAGGAGCCUUCUUUAGUACGAGAGGACCGAGAAGGACAUACCUCUGGUGUACCAGUUAUCGUGCCAACGGUAAACGCUGGGUAGCCAUGUAUGGAGAGGAUAACCGCUGAAAGCAUCUAAGUGGGAAGCCCACCUCAAGAUAAGUAUUCCCAAAAAAAA